rnacentral:tRNA from 1 species
AAUAAAAUGCCUGAAAAAGGAUUACUUUGAUAGAGUAAAUCAUGUACACUAAUACUUUUAUUA